UACAGAGGGGGCAAGCGUUAUUCGGAAUUAUUGGGCGUAAAGGGCGCGUAGGCGGCAUGGCAAGUGGAUGGUGAAAUCCCUCGGCUUAACCGAGGAACUGCCGUCCAAACUGCUUCGCUUGAGACCGGGAGAGGUGAGUGGAAUUCCCAGUGUAGCGGUGAAAUGCGUAGAUAUUGGGAGGAACACCAGUGGCGAAGGCGGCUCACUGGACAGGUACUGACGCUGAUGCGCGAAAGCGUGGGGAGCAAACGGG
rnacentral:rRNA from 1 species